CAGUGGAGGAAAAGGAGGAUCUGAACAAGCAUCAGCAGCAGGCAGUCAAAGGAGGUCAAGAGAUUGUAGCUCAGGGUGCGAAUCACAGUGCAGCUCUCCUCUGGCAUGAAGGCUGUGAGAGAGGCAUGACAAUUUCUGGCCUUGCCCUGCCAAAGGAGAGCUGUCCUGCCAUUCAUUAGCCCUGCAAUCAGCAUGCACAUUGGUGUUUUCAGUGGAUCAUUGUUGAGUGUACUGAGCAAAGUUCUUGAACAAUAGCUCGUGUACCAUCGCCAGCUGCACCAAGCAAAGGUGGCGGCAUGAAACACAAUCCUCGUCUCAUCAUUGGUGGCUUUCAUUUUUUUUUUUCAAUUGAUUGACCAUUCAUAUAGAGGGAUCGACAUGGCUUUUGCUUUGUUGUAAG
rnacentral:lncRNA from 1 species